CGGAGGGUGCAAGCGUUGUCCGGAUUUAUUGGGUUUAAAGGGUGCGUAGGCGGCUAAUUAAGUCAGCGGUGAAACUCCACAGCUCAACUGUGGAACUGCCAUUGAUACUGGUUGGCUUGAGUACAGAUGAGGUAGGCGGAAUUGACAGUGUAGCGGUGAAAUGCUUAGAUAUUGUCAAGAACACCUAUUGCGAAGGCAGCUUACUAAGCUGUAACUGACGCUGAGGCACGAAAGCGUGGGGAUCAAACAGGAUUAGAUACCCUGGUAGUCCACGCCGUAAACGAUGAUUACUCGAUGUGUGCGAUAGACAGUACGCGUCCAAGCGAAAGCGUUAAGUAAUCCACCUGGGGAGUACGCCCGCAAGAGUG
rnacentral:rRNA from 1 species